UGACGUCAUCAGAGUUCCAGAUAGCCCGCUAGCAUUCGGAUUAGAAGGUGAUGAUUUUGCGUUCCACGAUAGAAUAGAUAUUGGGAACUAUGAUUACACAGAUAGAUCUACAGCCUUCAGUCUUAUUCAAGCCAAUAGAGGAAAUUUGCAUUGCAACAAUUCAUUUUUGAUGUCUCCGAAGCAUAUCAGUCAGGU